UUAAAUUGAAGAGUUUGAUCAUGGCUCAGAUUGAACGCUGGCGGCAGGCAUAAAAAAUGCAAGUCGAAC
rnacentral:rRNA from 1 species